rnacentral:snRNA from 1 species
UUGCUUUGGCAACAUAUAUACUAAAAUUGGAAUGAUACAGAGAAGAUUAGCAUAGCCCCUGUGCAAGGAUGACAUGCAAAUUCAUGAAGCGUUCCAUAUUUAA